rnacentral:rRNA from 1 species
AUUGAACGCUGGCGGAAUGCUUUACACAUGCAAGUCGAACGGCAGCACGGGAGCUUGCUCCUGGUGGCGAGUGGCGAACGGGUGAGUAAUAUAUCGGAACGUAUCCAAUAAUGGGGGAUAACUAGUCGAAAGAUUAGCUAAUACCGCAUACGCCCUACGGGGGAAAGGACUGGGGACCGUUCGGGCCUGGCGUUAAGUGG